rnacentral:tRNA from 1 species
CAGAUAGCUCAGUUGGUAGAGCAAAGGACUGAAAAUCCUUGUGUCGGUGGUUCGAUCCCACCUCUG